rnacentral:rRNA from 1 species
UACGUAGGGUCCGAGCGUUGUCCGGAAUUAUUGGGCGUAAAGAGCUCGUAGGCGGUUUGUCGCGUCUGCUGUGAAAUCCCGAGGCUCAACCUCGGGCCUGCAGUGGGUACGGGCAGACUGGAGUGCGGUAGGGGAGACUGGAAUUCCUGGUGUAGCGGUGGAAUGCGCAGAUAUCAGGAGGAACACCGGUGGCGAAGGCGGGUCUCUGGGCAGUAACUGACGCUGAGGAGCGAAAGCGUGGGGAGCGAACAGG